rnacentral:rRNA from 1 species
UGGCGGCGUGCCUAAUACAUGCAAGUCGAGCGAAUGGAUUAAGAGCUUGCUCUUAUGAAGUUAGCGGCGGACGGGUGAGUAACACGUGGGUAACCUGCCCAUAAGACUGGGAUAACUCCGGGAAACCGGGGCUAAUACCGGAUAAUAUUUUGAACCGCAUGGUUCGAAAUUGAAAGGCGGCUUCGGCUGUCACUUAUGGAUGGACCCGCGUCGCAUUAGCUAGUUGGUGAGGUAACGGCUCACCAAGGCAACGAUGCGUAGCCGACCUGAGAGGGUGAUCGGCCACACUGGGACUGAGACACGGCCCAGACUCCUACGGGAGGCAGCAGUAGGGAAUCUUCCGCAAUGGACGAAAGUCUGACGGAGCAACGCCGCGUGAGUGAUGAAGGCUUUCGGGUCGUAAAACUCUGUUGUUAGGGAAGAACAAGUGCUAGUUGAAUAAGCUGGCACCUUGACGGUACCUAACCAGAAAGCCACGGCUAACUACGUGCCAGCA